rnacentral:misc_RNA from 1 species
UCUCCGUAGGUGAACCUGCGGAGGGAUCAUUACUGAGUUCACGCCCUACCGGGUAGAUCUCCCACCCUCCGUUAUUAUUACUUUGUUGCUUUGUCGGGCCGUUAGGCACCGGCCCAACUACCGGCCCCGGCUGGUAAGCCCCUGCCAGAGGACUCAAAAACCUGAAUAUUAGUGACGUCUGAGUACCAUAUCAUAGUUAAUACCUCCAACAACGGAUUCCUUGGCUCUGGCACCGAUGAAGAACGCAGCAGAUCGGAAUAGCACACGGCUGAACUCCAA